rnacentral:tRNA from 1 species
GUUAGAGUAGUUUAAUAUAAAAUCCCUAUUUUACACGUAGGGGAAGGUUUUAGGGCCCUCUAAUA